UGGGGAAUUUUGCACAAUGGGGGAAACCCUGAUGCAGCGACGCCGCGUGAUUUAGAAGGCCUUCGGGUUGUAAAAAUCUUUUUUACGGGAUGAAAAUGACAGUACCGUAAGAAUAAGGUCCGGCUAAAUACGUGCCAGCAGCCGCGGUAAUACGUAUGGACCGAGCGUUGUCCGGAAUCAUUGGGCGUAAAGGGUACGUAGGCGGCCUAGUAAGUUAGAAGUUAAAGAAUAUAGCUCAACUAUAUAAAGCUUUUAAAACUGCUAGGCUUGAGAGAUGGAAGGGAAAGUGGAAUUCCUAGUGUAGCGGUGAAAUGCGCAGAUAUUAGGAAGAAUACCGGUGGCAAAGGCGACUUUCUGGUCAUCAUCUGACGCUGAGGUACGAAAGCGUGGGUAGCAAACAGG
rnacentral:rRNA from 1 species